rnacentral:rRNA from 1 species
GACGAACGCUGGCGGCGUGCCUAAUACAUGCAAGUUGAGCGCUGAAAGGUGGUGCUUGUUCCAACUGGGUGAGCAGCGGACGGGUGAGUAACACGUGGGUAAUCUGCCUUUGAGCGUGGGACAACAUUUGGAAACGAAUGCUAAUACCGCAUAAAAUCUUUAAACACAAGGUUUAAGUUUGAAAGAUGCAAUUGCAUCACUCAAAGAUGAUCCCCCGGUGGAUUUGCUAGUUGGUGAGGUAAACGCUCAACAAGGCCAUGAUACAUAGCCGACCUUAAAGGGUGAUAGGCCCAAACGGGAAUUGAGCAACGCUCCAGACUCCAAGGGAAGGCAGAAGAGGGAAUUUUUGGGAAUGGGGCGAAGUCUGAACGAGGCAAGCCGGCGUGGUGGAGGAAGUUCUUGGGUUGGUAAACCCCGUUGGUAGGGGAGAAAGAUGGGGAGAGUGGAAAGUGCAUCAAGUGACGGUACCUACUCAGAAAGGGACGGCUAACUACGUG